rnacentral:lncRNA from 1 species
CAGGUAUAUUCAGUGUCUUAAAGUGGGCUUUACUCUUGUAAAGACACUUUUCCUGAAGUGUUGGCCUGCUGUGUGUAGCUUACCAAUGACUGUGCCUUGUGAGUAACCAAUAUAGUAUAGUUUUUCCUGUCCAGUCUUCUUCAUGAUGAAGUUUUUGGCUGCUGGAAGAUCAAACUUGGUCAUCUCAUCAAAACUGCAGAUAGGAGAUUGAGAGAUCCAGUGUUUAGAGCUACUGGAUAUAGAAGAUACUACUUGAGCUUUGCUGGGUUAUUUUCUCCCCUGACAUCAAAAAGAGAUUCUGACUUCAAGGAGCAUUGGGCUGAACUGGAAUGGCCUACCUACGAGUAACAGAAUCCCUAGACUCUGCUACCUGUGAGACCUUGGGCAAAGAUGAGGAGUGUAGCAAUAUGAGGAGCUGUGUCAGGCACCAGUAAGUGUUGAACCAGCAACAGAAAGUACCAAGCAUAGGUUUAAGCAC